UCAGAGCCCAGAUCCCGCCCACUGCCGGGUCUCUUGACCCCACGCUGCAGGGGUUAGGCGAAGCCUCCGGCAGGCCACCGAGGACGUGGCGCCUUUGGGCGUUGGGCGUGGCAGGGCGAGAAGAAUGGCAGCCACUGGAACGCUGCGGAGGGCCGUUAGAGCCUCGAGGGCCCGGGAAGGGGGCUCUACGUGGACGCCAGCUCAGCCACCCUUAGGCCUUGGAGCCCGCGCGGAUCCGGGACCUGAGGUGACCUCUCUGCCCCAGUUGGACGAGACCUCACCUCGUCCGGACAACGACGGACAAAGGCCUUAACGGGCCUGGAAGAAAAGAAAUGUCUUCUGGAAAUGACUUUUCGAAAUGGAGUUGUUUGACCACCUCUAGAGGCGACAACAGGAGCCACAGAGGUCCACGUUUGUUCAGUGGGUUAGAGGACAUGGAAUGGAAGACUUUGAGGAGGAAGAAAAGAAGGUUCUGUGCCAGACUGGUCACAGAAGACAUUUGCAUAUUAGAACCAUUGUUUUGUGUGUUCAUUUUACUCCUUACUACUGUAUGUGUAGUUGACAAUAAGUACUUUUUUGAUAUAUCUAGUCUUUCUAGAUCUUCUAAAGUGCCUGAUAUUUGUUCAAAGUAGAGGUAGUAAAAAGACAUUUUGUAAAUACCUUUUUGUUAAAAUUCGUAUGAAAUGUUGUUUGGGGGGGGAGGGGUGGCCAAACCACCUUUUUGAACAGUACGCAGUAUGCACUGUGUUUGUUUGUGCACUGGUUCAAGGUCGCCGGGAGGAGAAGGAAGCACAAAGAGCUCUGUGCCAGUGUGUUUAUAGUGAGGCAAGAUUAACCAUUGUCUUUUUUAUGUUCCCACAUUUUGUUUCACUUUGCUGUGUAUAUAGUGUAUAUAAUGGACAAAUGAGUCCUAAUUUACAACAUCUAGUCUUUCUAGAUGUUAAAGAGGUUGCCAGUGUAUGACAAAAAUAGAGUUAGUAAAUAAUACAUUUUGUACAUUUUGUGUUAAAAUUUCUAGGAAAGAUUGUCUUCUGAAAAUUUGAGCGUGAUAGCCCUCUGGGUUGGUGGAGGGGAGAGAGAGAGAAGGGGGUUGGUCUUAGAAUGGCUAGAAUGCUGGUAUUUUGAAGACAGUUUCAGAUUAUAACUGUUACAUGUGUGCAGUUCAUUCAGUACUGCUCUGUAUAUAGUGGACAAAUUAAGUCCUUAUUUGAAACAUCUAGUCCAUCUAGAUGUUUAGAAGUGCCCAACGUAUGUUAAAUGUAGAUGUAGUAAAAUAUCACUUUGUAAAUAACUUUUUGCUAAAAUUCACAGGAAGUACUGUCUUUGGGAAUGUUAAAUGUUAAACCACCUCUCUGAGCAGUAUACUAUUGUCUAUACUUGUUCAGUGGUUUGGAGGAGGGAUGGAAAGAAUUGCAAAAGGUAAUAUGCUAGUGUGUUCAUACCUGGACAUUUUCAGACAAAACCAUUUUUUGUAUGUUCAUUUUGUUUUGCUGUGUAUAUAGUGUAUAUAAUGGACAAAUUGAGUCCUAGUUUUGCAACAUCUAGUCUCUAGACGUUAAAGGGGUUGCCAGUGUAUGACAAAGUAGUAAAAUUAGCACAUUUUGUAUACUUUAUUGAAAUUCAUAGGAAAGCUUGUCCUCUGUAAAUGACUUUUGGAUAUGAAUUUGUUCAACCACCUCUAAGCAUUACAUAUGCAUGUACUUGUCCACUGGAUUGGUGGUGGAGAGAAGGAAGUGAGGGAGGAAAUGGUUCAGGCCAAAAUGGUCAUAUUUAGAAGAUACCUCAGAUUAUAACCAUUGUUACAUGUGUGCAAUUUUAUUUAACAGUGCUGUGUACAUAGUGGACAAGUAAGUUCUUAUAUGAAAUAUCUAUUCUUUCUAGAUGUUUAGAAGUGCUUGAUGUAUUUAAAAGUAGUUUUAGUAGAAUAA